rnacentral:rRNA from 1 species
AUUGAACGCUGGCGGCAGGCCUAACACAUGCAAGUCGAGCGGAUGAAGGGAGCUUGCUCCUGGAUUCAGCGGCGGACGGGUGAGUAAUGCCUAGGAAUCUGCCUGGUAGUGGGGGAUAACGUCCGGAAACGGGCGCUAAUACCGCAUACGUCCUGAGGGGGAAAGUGGGGGAUCUUCGGACCUCACGCUAUCAGAUGAGCCUAGGUCGGAUUAGCUAGUUGGUGGGGUAAAGGCCUACCAAGGCGACGAUCCGUAACUGGUCUGAGAGGAUGAUCAGUCACACUGGAACUGAGACACGGUCCAGACUCCUACGGGAGGCAGCAGUGGGGAAUAUUGGACAAUGGGCGAAAGCCUGAUCCAGCCAUGCCGCGUGUGUGAAGAAGGUCUUCGGAUUGUAAAGCACUUUAAGUUGGGAGGAAGGGAAGUAAGUUAAUACCUUGCUGUUUUGACGUUACCAACAGAAUAAGCACCGGCUAACUUCGUG